rnacentral:rRNA from 1 species
UACGUAGGGUGCGAGCGUUAAUCGGAGUUACUGGGCGUAAAGCGUGCGCAGGCGGUUUGUUAAGACAGAUGUGAAAUCCCCGGGCUUAACCUGGGAACUGCAUUUGUGACUGGCAAGCUAGAGUAUGGCAGAGGGGGGUAGAAUUCCACGUGUAGCAGUGAAAUGCGUAGAGAUGUGGAGGAAUACCGAUGGCGAAGGCAGCCCCCUGGGCCAAUACUGACGCUCAUGCACGAAAGCGUGGGGAGCAAACAGG